AAUCUACAGAUUUGAUAAACUGAGCCAAUCCCAAACAAGAUGAAGAAAUAAAAAAAAUUCAGGUCAAGGCAUAUCAUCAGCAAAAUUCUGAAAAGUAAAGAUAAAGAAUAAAUUCUCAGAAGCAGCAAGAGAGAAAUCACAUUUUAGUUGCUGGUGAAAAACAAACUGAAUGAUGCCUGGAAUUCUCACGGAAUUGCCACGGAGUUCCAAAUAGCCAAAACAUCCGAGAAGAAAGAAGAAGAAAGUUCAAAUACUCUGCUUACAGCCUUAAAACGUAACACAAAACUACAGUAAUUAGAGCAGCAUUGCAAGAAGUCAUCUGGAAACACACAAGGACCUUCUGUGGCUUGGAAGCCAGGGAGAGAACAGCCAUGGGAACUUCAAUGGCUCUCCCAGGGGACAGACCGCCCAAUGCACAUGACCUUCCCCUCUGCUCUGCUAGAAGGGUCCCUCACAGUAACACCGGAGAACCCCAUUCCCACCACCGGCGUGCCAUGUGGGUGGCACAGUAUGGUCCUGGCAUGAGAACAGGCAGACAAACCAUGGAAUAGGAUAGAGAGCUAGAAACAAACUCGCUCCAUAUGAUCAAUGGACUGCGACAAGGAGUCCAAGACCAUUCAAUGAGAAAUGGCGUCUUGGCCACCAAAGGUGGGACUAAAAAAGGAUUUGCUUACCAAUGUUCCCAUCGGCAUUAUCCACAGCAUACCAAGGGUGGAAUCAGCCCAGGUGUCCAUCAGGAGAUGGAUAGGCAGAGAACCUAUAGCAUCACAAUGGAAUACUACUCAGCUAUGGAAAGGAAUGAAAUUUUUACAAAUGCUACAAUGUGAAAGGAACUUGACAGCAUUUUGCUCAGUGAAAUGAGGCAGACAAACACAGAAGGACAGAAGUUGUAUAGCUCCAUGCCUAAGAGGUGCCUAGGACAGGCAAUUUAAUGAAGACAGUAGACUAGACGGGAGCUUACUAGAGGAUAAGGGCAGAGGGAAAGUGGGUUAUCGGUUAUGAGUGCAGGGUUCAUGUGG
rnacentral:lncRNA from 1 species